GUCUUUUUGAUUUAGGUAGGAGGUUUGCCUGCUCAAUGAGGUUUAAAUAGCUGCAGUAAAAUAACUGUGCGAAGGUAGCAUAAUAAUUAGUUCAUUAAUUGUGAACUGGGAUGAAAGGGUUGAUGAAAAGUUAACUGUCUUUAUAUUAGUUAAGGUCGAAUUUUACUUCUAAGUGAAAAGGCUUAGGUAACUUGAAGGGACGAGAAGACCCUAUAGAAUUUUAUAAAGUAUAAUGUUGGAGGGAUGUUAUUUUUUGUUUAAUUGGGGUGAUUAAAAUAAGAAUAGAACUAUUCUAGGGAAUACACUAAUUGGUGAAGGAUUAAGUUGAUGUGAUUUAGAAAUUUAAGAUAAAUUACCUUAGGGAUAACAGCAUUAUUUAUAUGGAGAGUUCUAAUUGAUAUAUAGGUUUGUGACCUCGAUGUUGAAUUAAGAUAAAUUUAGGGCGAAGAAGUUUUAGUGAUUAGGUCUGUUCGACCUUUAAAGUCUUACA
rnacentral:rRNA from 1 species